rnacentral:lncRNA from 1 species
CUGGGAAUAGUUGGUGAUCGUUUGGUAUGUUUUCAGCUUCCUUCAAAAACUCUGCAAAAGGUUUUGCUCCAUGGCCCCUGCUCCUCAGAAGAGGAUGCUGAGAAUUUUCUAGCUGCUUUUGCACACCAGCUUGAAGAGAUACAGGAAACUAUUUUGAAGCUCCAGACACUUCUUGAAGUGGUACCUCCAGCUCAGGCUGACCUUCAAAGUAUCCUGCACAUCCUUCCUGCUGUCAUCUUUACUUCUUCUGAGAAAGCCUUCCUUGCCAGAUCCAUGAAUCCAUCAUCAGGAAAUCAAUCAGAGAGAAGAUGCCACUAAGAGGAGUGGAUUUUGUUUCAAGAUCUGCUGCUGUUAAUGCGAAUAAACCACAUGUUUAUGACCA